UUUUUCUUAUGUCUACUUCUUUAAGGAUCAAAAUAAAGUUUCAGUCUGCCAUUAAGUAAAGAAAAAUAGAAUAAAUAUUAACUAUAAGCUGAUUUCUUUAUUCUCUGUUAGUAGUAGUAAAAACUUUGCACUGUUAAUAACUAACAUUAGAGUUCAUGGAAAGGGUAACUUCUCAAGAAACUUAGUGAUGUAUUUGUUCUGGGAAUUUAAAGUUAAACAGAGCUUGGUGCCCUCAAUAUGGCUAGAGGGCAAGGUUGUUUUGAUCUAAGCUAUCAUGCAGAAAGAAUGUGUUCUUUGGGAAAGUUCACAAUUGUGCUUUUGGAGAUUUUUUUAACUUAUUAUUUCCUUGUACUAACAGAUAAAAAGACUUGUGAAAAAAUAAAGAUUUGGAUUCAGCCUCAGAACACUUGGUAUCUGUACUGUUUCUCCAAUGCACCGCAGCCUCUCAGCCACUUAGGACUCCCGACCGCUGCUAGGACUGGACCCGGCAAUUGGUGCCCAAAGUGGGACCCGAAGAGUGGAUGCUGACCUCCAUUGUGGAUUCCUGAUCGACUGAUCCGACACCAUGAGCCACCCUCACAGAAGAAGGAUUCCUCCCCAACCGUACCCACAAAUCCAUUUGACCCAGGAUGAUCAGCUCACUGAACAACUCGCUUACUACAUUGAUCUUUGCUCUUGACAGGCUGCCUCUACUCGAAGUGAUCCUAUUCCAACUGGGGACAACUAAAAUGCUUAACUACCAGAGCAGAACAAAUGGUGUUAUGGGGUUAUUUUCCUGAUCCACCUCUGUUACAUCCCUCAUUCUGGAGUAGAGUUAAUUUAAAGGUUUUUACUAGUUAUUGGGAGGCAUUUCUGAUACUUUGAUUCCACAUAAGCUAUCUCAAGAGAUAUCUUUCCAUGGUUUAGUAGAUGAGACUCCCUUGUGUUUUUCUACUCAUAGUGAAUGUGUUCCUUUGGGAUGUCUUCCCCUUAGUUAUAGAACAUUUCUUAUUGAUUUGCCUCAAUUUGAUCCCACGAAAUGAUAUGUUUGGUCUUUCGAAAUAAUCUCAAUUGGAUAUGCUAAGUACAACAAAUCUUAUGAAAACAUGACCAUACCCUCUCCUAUUGAGCCUCGUGAAAAUAAAUCAGAAUAUACAGAUGUGUAUUGUAAUCAAAUAGAUCAAUCUGUAGAUUUUCCAAAAUGGUUUGAUUGUGACUUUUCUCAUACUGCCCAGAUCUAUGUCCCAUUAAUGUCAAAACAAAAAUCAUGGAUUGGUCAGUUUCCUCCCCAAAUUACAAUUAUAAAACAUAUUUUAUACAAAACAAAAGGAAUUUCAAUUUUAAGAAGUUUCACAUUGUUGAGCCUCUUCAUAGAUGGUUUACUUCAGGAUGGGUAACUCCUAUAUACAAAAGUGUUUUGAGAAAUGGCAAACAUUCUCAUUUUCCUGACUUAUAUCAUCUUCUUGCAGCAACUAAUAUGGUACUUUUAAAGCAUCCUACCUUAAAGGUUCCUGUUGCCCCCAAACCUUAUAAUGUUAGGGCCUGUGUUAAUGCUCCUCAUGCUAUUUUACUUGCACUUGCUGAUUGUGUAAAUAUUUCUAAGACUAAGGAACCUUAUUCUAUACAAUGUGAUUACUGUAUAUUAACCAACUGUAUUAAUUCUUCAUUUCCAAAAAAUUAUACUAUUCUUUUGAUAGUACACCAAACCACCUUUUGUACUGCUACCUGUAGUUUUGGAGGAAGAGUGGUAUGAUGACCCGGGAACUGAAGUGUUUAAACAACUUAAUGAACUUAUGAGACCUAAACGUUUUGUAGCUGCUUUGAUUGUAGGCAUUACUGAAUUAAUAAGUAUAAUUACUUCUUUAACUGUGUCCACUACUGCCCUUAUACAGGAAAUACAUACAGCUUCUCAUAUAAAUGAUUUAUCUCAUAAUGUAGCUUUAGCUUUGGCAGCUCAGGAAAAAAUAGACAAAAAACUAGAAACACGCAUCGAUCCCUUAGAGGAAGCUGUUCUUUAUAUUGGCAAUCAAAUUCAAAAUAUAAAAACUCAAAUGGCUACUAGAUGUCAUGUAAUUAUAAGUGUAUUUGUGCUACCCCUUUAAAACAUAAGAAAGAAACCUCAUGGCAACAAGUACAAACCCACUUAAAAGGGAUUUGGGAUAAUUCUAAUAUAGCACCUGAUGUAGAAACCCUACAAAUUAAAAUUAAGGAUCUAUCUCAGGUUCAUUUACAAAUGUCCCCUAUUGGUAAUCUGGCAUUAGAAAUUUAUAAAACAUCAAAAGUACAAUUGGAAGUUGUACAUUCCUGAUGUUUAUUAUCCAGAUUGGAAUAGGAAUAUUUGUGUUCUAAUAUUGUUGUUUAUCUUUCCAGUCAUCCUACGUCUAAUCUGAAAGAGUGUUCAUAAUCUACAUGCUCAAAUUGAAACCAUCAAGUUAAAAAAUAAAAUAAAAAUGGGGGAAAUGCCACGUUUAUUUCCCACCUUUCCAGCACAUAACACGGUUCUGUUGGAACAGAGGAUCCGACACUUGACACGGUUCUCUUGGAAAUGAGGACCGACAUUUGACACGGUUCUGUUGAGUGGCUAUCCCUCCUGGAGGUCAUAGGCAUGGCAUACCCCCACAGACAAUUACUUUUAAUAAUAAUAAUCAAUAUAUCCUUAGAAAACUUAUUGUAAAAAAUACUGGGGAGGCUUCACUAUACUGGGACACAAAAUAACAUACAAUAAAGUUUAAUAUUAAUACAUACAUAGAAUAAUUAAUAAACCAUUAUAGUUUGCUCAAAUUUGUGAAGAGCCUGUGAUUUCUUUAGUAUAUAAAUUCUCUAAACAUUAUAUAUAGGUGAAGAAGAAUGUAUUCCUUUGAGCUUAAAUGCGGUAUUUGGCCUUCAUUGCUUUCUUAGUGUUUAUGAUUAAGUUUAAGGAUACUUUACCUACAUAAUAAGACAUAGGUUAAUCAUAAGUAGAAUUUGUAUUUUUCUUAUGUCUACUUCUUUAAGGAUCAAAAUAAAGCUUCAGUCUGCCAUUAAGUGAAGAAAAAUAGAAUAAAUAUUAACUAUAAGCUGAUUUCUUUAUUCUCUGUUAGUAGUAGUAAAAACUUUGCACUGUUAAUAACUAACAUUAGAGUUCAUGGAAAGGGUAACUUCUCAAGAAACUUAGUGAUGUAUUUGUUCUGGGAAUUUAAAGUUAAACAGAGCUUGGUGCCCUCAAUAUGGCUAGAGGGCAAGGUUGUUUUGAUCUAAGCUAUCAUGCAGAAAGAAUGUGUUCUUUGGGAAAGUUCACAAUUGUGCUUUUGGAGAUUUUUUUUUUACUUAUUAUUUCCUUGUACUAAUCAGAUAAAAAGACUUGUGAAAAAAUAAAGAUUUGGAUUCAGCCUCAGAA